rnacentral:rRNA from 1 species
GUCUUUUUGAUUAUAAUUUAAAGUCAGGCCUGCUCUAUGAUUUUAAAUGGCUGCGGUAUUUUGACCGUACAAAGGUAGCAUAAUCAUUAGUUUUUUAAUUGAAAGCUGGAAUGAAGGGUUUUACGAAAAAAAAUCUGUCUCAAUUUAAUUUAAUUAGAAUUUUAUUUUUAAGUUAGAAAGCUUAAAUUUAAUUAUGGGACGAGAAGACCCUAUAGAGUUUAAUAUUUUAUAUAAUUGAUUAUUUAUUAUUAUUAAUUAUAAAACAAUAUUUGAUUGGGGUGAUUUUAAAAUUUAAAUAACUUUUAAUUUAUAUUUAUAUUAAUUAAUAGAUUUUUGAUCCAGAUAACUGAUUAUAAGAAUAAAUUACCUUAGGGAUAACAGCGUAAUAUUUUUUGAGAGUUCUUAUCGAUAAAAAAGAUUGCGACCUCGAUGUUGGAUUAAAAUCAAUUAAUAGUGAAGAAGCUAUUAAAUUAGGUCUGUUCGACCUUUAAAAUUUUACA